UGGCUUUCCUAAAGUUCCCUUCGUUUGCUAAUACACUACAUUAUCCUCAGUGCUACCUCUGAAAUCACACUAUCAAAUAGCUUCUACUAUGUAAUUCUGUAACGUUUUUUUCCUGAAUGUUUAGGUAUAUUUUGGCAUGCAGGGAUUAAGAAAUAGCUAUCUGAGCAUAUAUUUUAUUGUUCACCAAUUAACCCCACUUUGACCCUGUGGGUUAAUGAAUGAAAAGUAUCUGCUAUUAGGGUGUGGUUUCAUCUUAUCAAUUACAUAUUUUUAUUUUGAAAUUGGUCACCUUUGUCUUCACCAUUCUUUUCUCUUGGACAGACUGUUAAUCCCUUAAGUCAAGGCAAGUACACGAGUUAAGGGGUUAACAGUCUGUCCAAGAGAAAAGAAUUACAUUCAUGGCAAAUGCUGCCCCCAAUCAGUCACAACAUACCACAUACAUAUUAUUCUUGAUGAGCUUAAAGUAGCCACACAGCACUCAGGGCAGCCUCCACUAACUGAUUGGAAAUAAGCCUGUUUGCCAUAUCUCCCUGAAACUUUCUGUUAACAAAGCCACAAAACGCUGAAACAAAGAAAAAUUAGAUAAUAUCAAGAGCCCAUCUUCUAACAUAUCGCCUAGCUCAUUACUUUCAAUACAUAUUUUCCAAACUAAAAAUUAAAAUCUCAACUCUUUAAGAGAAGUUUUUUACUUUUGUAAUAUAAGAGAUUAUCUUGGCAAUAUAGUUUUGAUGCCAAUAUAUUGAAACUUAUAUGACAUUUCAGUGGUUUUGCAGUGUUUUCCCAAGUAUGGUAGCUUUACCACCGGAGGUACACAGUGAUUUCUGGGUGUUAAACAGGUGAACAUUUUUUAUUUUAAUAGCUAUACAAUAUAACCAGCAAAUAAAACCAUGUUUUCAUGGAUAUUAUUGCUUGGAAUUAGUUAAGUUUUAAAACCUGAUUUAAAGGAAAAUAUUAAGUACUAGUAUGAAAGAUACCCAGUAGACAGAAAUGAUAGUAGAAGACAAAAGACAAGUUUAAGAAAUGCUGGUUUGUGUCAGCAGUGGACAGAAAAUUGGAAACUUGGGGCUGCCAUGGAAAUGAUAGGUGUUUGAUCACCACAGCUAUAGGAGUUCUUUGAAAGAAGAUCUGGAUAGUCUGAAAUAGUCAAGGGAGGUAUCCUCAGGGAUGUCGUAACUGUUGACCUCAAGACCAAUACAUCAAUUAGAAAAAUAUUUUAAGGGUGCUCAGCACUGCUGUGUAUCACAGGGUCCCUCCAUAGGACAUACAUACUUGAUCGGCUAGCGUUUUUGUCAUACAUUAGAAUGAAUGGAUAUGUGUUGGAAUGUCUUGACACAGAGUUAACCUGAACAUAUACAACUGGAAUUCCCGUUACAGUAAUAUAAUAGCAAUUGCAGACAGUUCGAAUUCUUUCUCACAGAGAUUACUUUUGUUUGAGUAGAAAUUCUACAUAAUUCUGGCCAGCGCAGUGGAUCACUUGAGGUCAGGAAUUCAAGACCAGCCUGGCCAACAUGGUGAAACCCCAUUUCUGCUUAAAAUACAAAAAUUAGCCGGGCGUGGUGGUAGACACCUGUAAUCCCAGCUACUCAGGAGGCAGAGGUUGCCGUGAUCCAAGAUAACACCAUUGCACUCCAGCCUGGGUGACAAGAAAGAAAUUCCGUCUC